UCGUCACACUAUCAUUAACUGAAUCCAUAGGUUAAUGAGGCGAACCGGGGGAACUGAAACAUCUAAGUACCCCGAGGAAAAGAAAUCAACCGAGAUUCCCCCAGUAGCGGCGAGCGAACGGGGAGGAGCCCAGAGCCUGAAUCAGCAUGUGUGUUAGUGGAAGCGUCUGGAAAGGCGCGCGAUACAGGGUGACAGCCCCGUACACAAAAGCGCAUGUGCUGUGAGCUCGAUGAGUAGGGCGGGACACGUGGUAUCCUGUCUGAAUAUGGGGGGACCAUCCUCCAAGGCUAAAUACUCCUGACUGACCGAUAGUGAACCAGUACCGUGAGGGAAAGGCGAAAAGAACCCCGGCGAGGGGAGUGAAAAAGAACCUGAAACCGUGUACGUACAAGCAGUGGGAGCACA
rnacentral:rRNA from 2 species